CCUUUUGGAUGGGGAUAGCUUGAGGACAAGAUGUAGCUAUGAGUAUGCUCCAGUUUCAAUGGCGGAUCCAUCAGAAUUUGCCGCCAGAGGACUUAGAUUUAAUAAGGCUUACACGAUGAGAAAUUUAGUUGCUGUGCCCAACGAUUGAGUUACUGUUGUUUCUGAACUAAGUUUGUGUUGUGUUUUCCUUCACACAGUGGCUUGCCCGGGUUCAAGGGAGAAAGGUAUGGCAGCAAAGCAUGGGUUUGCCUGAGGUGCACCAAAAAGGCUGUGGGCAUAUUGAAGCAUCGUUUUUUAGUAUUUCCUGCAACACCAACCUGCCAACCUAAGUUUGAUUCCUGGGACCCACAUGGUAGCAGAAGAAAAGUGAGUCCUGUAAAUUGUUCUUUGCUAUACACAAGUAUGCUGUAGUACAUGUGUGUAACACACACACAUAUGCUCAAAAAACUUAUACAUGCAUACAAAAAGAAAAAAAAGAAAAGUGAUUCUUUUGUUUGUAGUAUUCCUUUUCCCUUUUGUAUUUUGUUGUUGUUGAAUCUGUGUUGGUUUUAUUUUAAUUAAUUAAAUGUUCUUGUUAGCUGAAA
rnacentral:lncRNA from 1 species